rnacentral:rRNA from 1 species
AUUGAACGCUGGCGGCAUGCUUUACACAUGCAAGUCGAACGGCAGCGCGGGCUUCGGCCUGGCGGCGAGUGGCGAACGGGUGGGUAAUUCACCGGAACGUGCCCAGCCGUGGGGGAUAGCUCGGCUAAAGCCGGAUUAAUAUCGCAUACGACCUUAUGGUGAAAGCGGGGGAUCUUCGGACCUCGCGCUUUUUGAGCGGCCGAUGGCAGAUUAGCUAGUUGGUGGGGUAAAGGCUUACCAAGGCGACGAUCUGUAGCUGGUCUGAGAGGACGACCAGCCACACUGGAACUGAGACACGGCCCAGACUCCUACGGGAGGCAGCAGUGGGGAAUUUUGGACAAUGGGCGAAAGCCUGAUCCAGCAAUGCCGCGUGAGUGAUGAAGGCCUUCGGGUUGUAAAGCACUUUUGGCGGGAACGAAAAAGACUGUGCCAAUACCACGGUUCGAUGACGGUACCCGCAGAAUAAGCACCGGCUAACUACGUG